UACGUAGGUGGCAAGCGUUAUCCGGAAUUAUUGGGCGUAAAGCGCGCGCAGGCGGUCUUCCAAGUCAGUGGUGAAAGCCCGGAGCUCAACUCCGGAACUGCCAUUGAAACUGUUAGACUUGAGGACGAGAGAGGUGAGUGGAAUUCCCAGUGUAGAGGUGAAAAUUCGUAGAUAUUGGGAAGAACACCGGUGGCGAAGGCGGCUCACUGGCUCGUAUCUGACGCUCAGGCGCGAUAGCGUGGGGAUCAAACAGG
rnacentral:rRNA from 1 species